AAUGGACGAAAGUCUGACGGAGCAACGCCGCGUGAACGAUGAAGGCUUUCGGGUCGUAAAGUUCUGUUGUCAGGGAAGAACAAGUACCGGAGUAACUGCCGGUACCUUGACGGUACCUGACCAGAAAGCCACGGCUAACUACGUGCCAGCAGCCGCGGUAAUACGUAGGUGGCAAGCGUUGUCCGGAAUUAUUGGGCGUAAAGCGCGCGCAGGCGGUUCCUUAAGUCUGAUGUGAAAGCCCCCGGCUCAACCGGGGAGGGUCAUUGGAAACUGAGGAACUUGAGUGCAGAAGAGGAGAGCGGAAUUCCACGUGUAGCGGUGAAAUGCGUAGAGAUGUGGAGGAACACCAGUGGCGAAGGCGGCUCUCUGGUCUGUAACUGACGCUGAGGCGCGAAAGCGUGGGGAGCGAACAGGAUUAGAUACCCUGGUAGUCCACGCCGUAAACGAUGAGUGCUAAGUGUUAGAGGGUUUCCGCCCUUUAGUGCUGCAGCAAACGCAUUAAGCACUCCGCCUGGGGAGUACGGC
rnacentral:rRNA from 1 species